rnacentral:rRNA from 1 species
AUUGAACGCUGGCGGCAGGCCUAACACAUGCAAGUCGAACGAUAACAGGAAGAAGCUUGCUUCUUUGCUGACGAGUGGCGGACGGGUGAGUAAUGUCUGGGAAACUGCCUGAUGGAGGGGGAUAACUACUGGAAACGGUAGCUAAUACCGCAUAACGUCGCAAGACCAAAGAGGGGGACCUUCGGGCCUCUUGCCAUCGGAUGUGCCCAAAUGGGAUUAGCUAGUAGGUGGGGUAACGGCUCACCUAGGCGACGAUCCCUAGCUGGUCUGAGAGGAUGACCAGCCACACUGGAACUGAGACACGGUCCAGACUCCUACGGGAGGCAGCAGUGGGGAAUAUUGCACAAUGGGCGCAAGCCUGAUGCAGCCAUGCCGCGUGUAUGAAGAAGGCCUUCGGGUUGUAAAGUACUUUCAGCGGGGAGGAAGGGAGUAAAGUUAAUACCUUUGCUCAUUGACGUUACCCGCAGAAGAAGCACCGGCUAACACCGUG